rnacentral:lncRNA from 1 species
GAGCAGCAAAGAACAGAAUGGAGUUCUCUUGUUGGUGAAUUCUAUCCCAGGAACUUCCACUUUGGGUCUUGAAAGGCUGCCUCUGUGUAUGUAUAUUUCUGUGCACAGGCUUCUGGAUUGGAGCAAGCUGUGUGACAGACAUCAGUCAAGGGGACAAGGGACUCCUGAGGAGUGAGGCCUUGGAUAUACUGUAACCCCAGCAGGUCAGGGUCAUGGGUCGCCUAGAUGACUAUGCCAAGAAGCGAAUCGUGGAGCUUCGGAAAGCAGGGCUGAGUUUUCGAAAGAUCAAGAAGGUCCUGGAGCUUGACAACAUCCGUGUCACACCACAGGCCAUCUAUCUUUUCUUGAAACGGAAGAAUAUGGAUCCUGGCCCCCUGCCUGGCAGCAGCCAUCCCCUCCCUCCCAGGGACCAGAACAGUCGGCUGCUGGCACUCAGGAGAGCUGGCUGGGAGGAUGAGCAGCUUUGGGACUUGUUGCAGGAGAGCGAGGUGGAGCCAAAGGAAUCCUUGGAAAGCCAGCCAGCUGGGCCUAGGGGAGAGACUGGAGCUGGUCAGAGCUGGGAUGGCGAAGAGGGCAUUAAGAUUGUCAGUGUGAGAUCUCUGUGUGAGGAUGGUGUAGCCCACCCCAAGGAUGCUUGUUCCAGUGAGGUUCCCCGAGCCUCAGCUAACAGUGAUGCUGGUAUUGGGCUGGUGGCUCCUGGUCCAGUGAGCCAGCCUGCUUCCCCUCAUCCACUGAAUCGGGGGCGGGCAUGUAUGCCUUCCCCACGGAACUCUGCCCUCAUUGUCAAGAAGAAGAUUGUGGACAGAGCCAUCUAUCUCCACAAAAAAGCUACUGUACAGAAUGUACAAAGGGGCACUGGCUCCUCUUCUCUUCCUCUUCUGGUAGGAGUGCAGUCUUCUGGGCCUGGCCCUGGCCUGCCAGACCUUAAGGAUUCCAGCCCCCAAGUUCAGGACAUGAGCACUCAGACCCGUCUGCCUUGUGCCAGUGCCCAGGGCUUGGCUGAGAAGCUGGAUGCGGUACAGGGGGCUGUGCAGCAGGUCCUGCAGGUGCUCCAAAUGCUGACAGAUCAACAGAGCCGGCUGGAACGGCAGCAGGAGCAGCAGCAGCGUUGGCAGCAGCAAGUGCUGGGUACUCUGCAGCAGCUUAGGGAGCCCACCCACAGUCAGGGCCCUGGAGCCAGGGAAACCCAGGACCUAGGGAACCUUGGGACUCUGGAAGGACCUAAUUUCUGCCAAUUUAAGAUGGAACUUCUUUGACAGUGGUGGGAAGGACCCCCCACAUAGGGGCGGCAUACCUGAAGGAGCAGGGCCUUCAGCUUUGAGAAAAAGAGGUCUGUGCUUUGGGCCCAUCUCAGCUGAAGACAGCCCUCUGAGGAGCGAGGUGAGGGCAGGAAACACUGCCCCCGUCCCCUCCCCCCUGGCCCUUGCAUCUGUGUGUACCACAGACUCCAGCCCCACAUCCUUUUCCUGUAUUGGUGCCGUCUUUGAUAAGCCCCACCCAGCUGCAGGGGUUGUGGAGGGUGUCGAAGGUGGCCUGGGAUUUGGGAGCAGGUGACCAAGGGAGGCUUUGUGACCUUUUCCCUUCCCUGGGUAUGGGGCUUAGGCUCUGGGAGAGUAGGUUUCCCUACCUUUAUAAGUUAUUAGAAGUGAAUUGAGGGGCUCAGGUGUUUCUUCAAGAUAGGGGAUAGGUCAUUAACAGUUUUUGGGGAUUCAUUGCAUAUUCCUGUUGGGGACUACUAAGCAUGUCCCAAGGCUUAGAGCACAGUGUGGGGCGAGGAUUAAGGACAGAGUUGGUGGUGGGAGAAUAGUAGUUAUUGAUAGUAAGGCCAGAGAGGACCAUCUCAAGAGAGUAGAUGAUGUUCUCAUAGUGGAAAUGCUUUUUCAUCAGCCACCGACAGUGUUAAUGUGACAUAAAUCUACUCUACCUUGGAUAGUUCUGAUGUAUAGAUGGGAUCCAGUCCUAGACUCUUUUCUGCCUCUGUAGAGGGUGUCAUUUUUGG